rnacentral:rRNA from 1 species
UGGGGAAUAUUGCACAAUGGGGGAAACCCUGAUGCAGCGACGCCGCGUGAACGAAGAAGGUAUUCGUAUCGUAAAGUUCUGUCCUAUGGGAAGAUAAUGACAGUACCAUAGAAGAAAGCUCCGGCUAAAUACGUGCCAGCAGCCGCGGUAAUACGUAUGGAGCGAGCGUUGUCCGGAAUUAUUGGGCGUAAAGGGUACGCAGGCGGUUUAAUAAGUCGAAUGUUAAAGAUCGGGGCUCAACCCCGUAAAGCAUUGGAAACUGAUAAACUUGAGUAGUGGAGAGGAAAGUGGAAUUCCUAGUGUAGUGGUGAAAUACGUAGAUAUUAGGAGGGAUACCAGUAGCGAAGGCGACUUUCUGGACACAAACUGACGCUGAGGUACGAAAGCGUGGGGAGCAAACAGG